rnacentral:lncRNA from 1 species
GUUGGGGAGGUUGGUCUUCGGCAUGUCGCGCAUCAAGUGCACUAUGCAGGGAAGGUUGUCGGUAGGACUUUGCUUGCACUAUCUUCUCCGAGAAAUUGAGAUUAGUGGAUGCAUGGCCCCCCACUGUUCCUCUAGCACCAACAUGUUUCUGCUCCUCUCUGGCUGGACCGAAGUAGUGGAACUAGCUGGAGUAACUGGGCUGGAUGAUUCAGAUCAAGGACCGCCCAUCAUCAGGGCAAGCAGGAGCCGAUCAGAUCCGAGCACCUAUAAAGAAAGCCUGACCAUCAGAGAAUGAGGUAGACAUUCUCCAGCGAUGGGCCCUUCGAUGGUUAAGUCAGUGACAGUUAGAAAAAAAAUGGUAGAAGAGAAAGAAGAUGAUGAGAACGAGAGUCCCUAGUUGAGAAGAAGAAGGAAUCUCUUUUGUUUUUCCCUUUCUCUCCCCUUUUACAGGAGAGAGCUUGUUAAGUGGUUGGCGCCCGUCAGUGUCGAGGCUG